UCACUAUUAAGGUAGUAUAAUGGUCAGUAUUCCCGCCUGUUACGUGGGCGACCGGGGUUAGAUUCCCCACCUGGGAG